GGAUGUGAGGGUGAUCUGGCUGCAACAUCUGUCACUCCAUUGAUUUCCAGGGUUGAUUCAGCUGAUCUGGCUGGUUAGGUGGAUAUCCCCUUCCUGCCUCAUCGCUGCUCCAUGUGCAUCCCUCCCAAAUCUGCAUGCUCAGUCAAAGAGGACGACCUUCCCCAAUAGAGAUGUACCGUUCAUUGGUCAGGGGUAUAUGGUAGCUGCAUUUACCUGCUAGAACCUCCAAACAAGCUCAAGGUUCAUCUGUAAGAGAACAUAGGGUAGUCAAGCUUCUCAGACUGCAGACACAUCCCAGUGAGGUGCUGCAUGGGGCAGUCUGUCAUUGUAA
rnacentral:snRNA from 1 species